CAGUGUGUCCCCCCAGCUGUAAGCACCGGGCCUGUACCAAGGACAACCAGUGUUGCCAUGAGUCAUGUCUGGGAGGCUGCUCUGAGCCCCAGAACAGCAGCAGCUGUGUAGCCUGCAAGAACCUCCAGUACCAGGAGGCCUGUGUGGACCGCUGUCCCCAGGGAUACUACACCUAUAGGGGCUGGCGCUGCGUCCCCUUCUCCUUCUGCCAGGACCUCCACAACAAGUGUAAGCAGAGCAAGAGCAGCGACUGCCAUGAGUAUGUCAUCCACAAUGGAGCCUGUAUACCUGAGUGCCCCUCCGGAUAUACUACUGUCAACUCCACCACGUUAAUCUGUACUCCAUGUGCUG